UCGGAUUGCAGUCUGCAACUCGACUGCAUGAAGCCGGAAUCGCUAGUAAUCGCGGAUCAGAAUGCCGCGGUGAAUACGUUCCCGGGUCUUGUACACACCGCCCGUCACACCAUGGGAGUCGGGAAUGCCCGAAGCCGGUGACCCAACCUUUCAGGAGGGAGCCGUCGAAGGCAGGCCUGGUAACUGGGGUGAAGUCGUAACAAGGUAGC
rnacentral:rRNA from 1 species